UACGAAGGGUGCAAACGUUAUUCGGAAUUAUUGGGCGUAAAGGGCGCGUAGGCGGCUUUGCAAGUGACGGGUGAAAUCCCUCGGCUUAACCGAGGAACUGCCUGUCAGACUGUUAGGCUUGAGACCGGGAGAGGUGAGUGGAAUUCCCAGUGUAGCGGUGAAAUGCGUAGAUAUUGGGAGGAACACCAGUGGCGAAGGCGGCUCACUGGACCGGUACUGACGCUGAGGCGCGAAAGCGUGGGGAGCAAACAGG
rnacentral:rRNA from 1 species